CUAAGAUCAACAAAACAUUUGUAUGCUUGCUUUUUGUGCUUGUUCUUGUCGGUAUCAUAUCAACAACCGAAGGCAGAACUAAUUCAUUCGUUUUUCCAACAAAAUUUUGGCAUGCCUGUACGUCUGUUGUCGGUGUGAAAAGUGGAGAUACUUGUUUUGACAUCGCUCAAAAGUUCAAGUUGAGCACAAAAUUCUUCAACUCCAUCAACCCGAAUCUCGACUGUGACAAGUUAUUUGUGGGUGAAUGGAUUUGCGUCGAAGGAAUCUAGUUUGUGUCUUUCAAAUGAGUCCAUUAACAGAAUAAACUUUUCUUUUUUGCUUUGUGAUUUCAAGCUAAGAUCUGUGGCUUUUUAUGUAUUAUUGUUUUCUCUAAUUUUCAAGAAACAAAUUGCUUUGACAUUUUUCUAGAUUA